ensembl:lncRNA
UUGCCAUUUCUAUUCGGUCCAGCUGUGAUCGGCUGAAGUUUCCAGAAGAGUGCAAGGAGAUCUGCACCAGCCUGUUUCUUUACAUGAUGUCUAUUUAUAUACACAUAUUCUCAUCUCAUCACGUCAUCUCUGUCCAUCAUAACUUCUUCAAUACCUUCUUUCUUUACAGCUAUAGGGAUUUCCUGGGUUUCUUCUGCAAGGUGUAUUUGGAGUUCCCGUGCGAGAGCACCCUCUGGCCUUCGGAUGGAGAUUUACUACUGAUCACAGAACCGUGCUUCACUGACAAGCAGACAAAGCAGCUCUUCAGUGUGGAGCUGAUACAAUCUUUUUAUUAGUGAGAAAAUAUAUUAUUUCAUUAAAGUGAUAGUUUGGUUUGCAGAGAUCAAAGCUUGAUCUAGCUCAGGACUGUUUUGAUUCUCAUAACCCUUUAAGGUGUUUUAAGAGAGAUUAUGUUGUGAAUAAAAUAGUUUAUCCAAAAAUAAAAUGUCUUAUCAGUUACCUUUAUUUUGUUUCUUAUCCAUAUGACUUACAAAAGGAGAAAUUAGGCAGAAUGAUGUGUCAUUAAGAUACUUUUUUAUAU